UUGUCUAGUUUUCUUUCAAAGCAAAUAAAUGUUUCAUCUUUUACUAAAGAUUUUCGUGAAGGGUGGCACUCAAAUGAGACUAUUCUCAAUUUUUUGUGAGCCUCGCAUUCACUUGCUGGGCC